UCUUUUAUCUUUUAUAAAUAUUCAGUUAGAAUAUGAUCAUAGUUUUCCGCUGUGUUCAUACAGCAGAUUUAAAUAACUAAGAGUUAUUUAGUGGGUGUCGAGAUCAGCUCAUGAUCCUUCCUGAGAUGCUGUAAACUAAUAAUUAGACAGAGAGUUAUCAGAAAUGUGCAGAGUCAUGUGUAGUCAUGCUUGCCAAAUGCAAUCAUGAUACUGAACUAAUUAACUAACUUCUACAGGAACACAGAUGGCAGUUUCAUAAUCCUAACUUUUUUUUCAUGCGCAGUUUAUAUUUGGUUGCUUUGGUUAUUUCUUUGCACUUGAUAGAGCAGUAAUACUUCAUGUAGAGCAGCAGCCAACAAAUAUUUUUUAUCAUCAGUAAAGUAAUGAAGAAAUAGCCCUCACAGUCUAAUGUGAUGUCCUCAGAAGAGAUAUAUUCAGUUUACACUCAUACAGAAUGAAGUCAAUCCUCAUAUUUAAAGAUGUUGAAUAUUGAAUGUUUAGAUAUUCUCACUUGAUAAAUGAGUUAAACUAUUAAUCAAGUAUAAAAAUGACUGUUUUCUGAUAUAUCAUAAAGUCUGUCAUAAAGUCCCUCUCAGUCAGCUUCCUCCCAUGUGUUCUGUGUUCCUACAUGAACACACUGUUUCAAAGUUAUAACAGCUGUGGUUGUUUCACACGAGACAUUCCUCUCCGUCUCCGCUCCUCUCUCUGGAUUUGAAGUGGGCGUGUUUCUGCUGCAGAAAGGUGGUAUCAUUAGCUGCCAUGCACCAAUCAGGAUUUAGCAACAUUUGAAUCGGACAACAGGUGUGGAGUUGUUACCUGUUGUUGUCAUUCAAGUCCAAUACAACCACACCCAGAUUAACAGAUUAGCAGAGUUUUUUGGGUUUCAGACUGAAUUGAUAAAACCUGUUGUGUGCUGAAUGUCGUCAUUAAUAUUUACUGUUACACAGGAAGACUUCAGAUCUGCGUGGACAGAAUCACAGAUUGUAAAUCUACCCUAAAUGUUUACAGGCACAAGUGUGUGUCAGAGAAGUUGAAGUUUGAGAGUGAGCGUGCUGCACUCGGCAAGCUGCUUCGUGAUUUGGAACAAUUUUGUCCCGAACGUGACCCCGAGCUGCAGCUGCUUUUUGUGCAUGUGUCCGCUUCCUCCCAGCUGUCAGCGGGGAACACACACUGGAUAAGGGAAUGUCUCCUCAGAUCACUCAGCGCUGAAGCACAGGCAGCACAUGCAGCAGCAUUAACUGUACAUCACUGCAGACAGAAAGUAUUAUAAUCCUUUCACUGACUCACUGACUGUUAUGACUUGUUUGGUUAUCCUCAAGUUUUUGUGUUCAGGCCAGAAAUGACUCAAAUCACCAAGCAAAGACAAAGCAUAAUUGUCCCUGCAAUGAAACCACUCUGUGUGGUGUUAUGACUUGUGCUGUAUUUUUUUUUUUUUUAUCACAGAUGUCAUUAAAAAGUAAAGCAACUGAGUGAUGUGUAAAAUUAAAGGUAAAACUUCAGUUACACACACUGUGAUAUUUAGAUUUUGUGGUUUAGUUUUGCUUUUAUCAGUCACUUGUCAGCCUUUGUUCUCAAAUGUAUUUUUUCAUUAAUAUAUUAAUAUAUUUCACUGCUUCACUGAUAUUACACUGUAGGUGAUGUUUCAUACAGUUUUCUUCUUCUUUACAUACAGUCUAUGGUGACUUAAGUUCAUUAAACCUGUCAUCCGUUCACACGUCUUUAUUUAUUUAAGCCUUAAACUGUCUCAGUGUGAUGAAUCCUCAUCGUGUAGAAGAUCACGGAUGGAGCUGGUCGCAGUGAUGAAGCGCGACCUGCAGUACCUCCACCUGAAGUUCCCGGGGAUGCUGAUCCUAUCCUCCUCCGUCGCCCACAGGCGUCAGCGGGCUAUUACAUAUUACAUGUGGCUUAUGUCCAGUUUGUCAGAAAACAGUCACGAAUAAAAGAGUCUCAGCUUCAGAGUUUGUGCACUGACGAUGCAUCUGGCGCAUGGCUGUUCUCCUGAUCUUAUAAUACAUCUCAGGCUUCUCCCCGUCUCUACGGCGGAUGCAUUUUAAGACCAAUCAGAGGCGGUUGCUAGACCGGCCAAUCAGCAUUUUUCUGCCAAUGUUAGCUGACGUAUGUCGUCAUUGGUGGCGACGUGUCUCCUCAUUGGCCAUGAUCUACUGGGAGGAGCAUAGAGAGGCGGGGAAACAGGUCGGAAAGCAGAUUUAAACCAAGCGCGAGCCGUUGCAUCUGUUUGUCAGUACUGUGAGGAAACGUCGUUAUCGAAGAGGUCUGGAUGCUAACACAAACACCGGAGCUGCUGUGUCGUCGUUAUCGAAGAGGUCUGGAUGCUAACACGAACACCGGAGCUGCUGUGUUGUCUUUAUCGAAGAGGUCUGGAUGCUAACACGAACACCGGAGCUGCUUUUAGUGUCGAACACGAGUGAGACCGGACGCUGAACACACCGACGGCGCGAAGGUGUCACCACUUUGUCCACGUUCACAGAGAGUCUUCGUACAAUGAAGAAGUUCUUUGAGACCAGGACAGAGGCCUCCAGGAUUCAAACUUUAACCAUUAAGUCACAAAGAGAAGAGACAGAUGUGAAGACAUUUCCAGAAGGUCCUCAGCUGCUCUCAUCUUCUCCUCCUGCAGAAGACCAUGUUAAUCACAGAAACUGAUCAGUAAUUCUAUUUUUUCUUUCCUAAACUGCCCCUAUUCAUUAUUGUUACCUAUUUACCACGAGUUAAACUAAACUUUUUACAACUCUGUCAGUAUCACAUAUUUGUGUGUUUAUCUAAUUAUUACAGUUACAGUAAUGUCUAGAAAUAGUUCUGAAACUCCUGUAAAUGGAUUUGUAAUUAUGUCAUAGUUAAGAGAUAAACAUCGACACAUAGAUUUUAUAAUAUCCUGUGAUAUUUUUUAAUGACAGAAUACACAGACAUUUUUCACAAUAUACGAUGGCCUUCUUAAAUUUUUUUUAUGACAUACUUUUCUCUGAUGUUUUUUUCCCACAUUUUUUGACAGCUUACUAUACAAUGACAAUUUUUGACCGUUUUUGACGCCUUAUUAUACUAUGACAUUUUUACACUUUCAUCCUUUUUAGCAACUUGUAGCCAGAAGUUAGGGUUAGGGUAAUGUUAGCCAGAGGUUAGGGUUAUACUAUGACAUUUUUAUGCUUUACUAUACUAUGAUAUUUGUUCUUAAUUUUUGAUUUUUUUGUCUUGAUUGUACUAUGACAGUUUUUGACAUGUUUUAAAAUUCCUUACUAUGACAUUACUGUGACAUUUUUGGAUUGUUUUUGAUGCAUUACUAUACUGACAUUUUUUGGUGGUUUUUGACGCCUUAUUAAAAUAUGACAUGUUUAGUCUGUUGUUGACACUUUGCUAUACUUUGACAUGCGGCUUAAGACAAAGGAACUAUCUUUAAGAAGCCAUCUUACUUUGGUUCUCCACAGACCCACAAGUGUUCACUCACAUCUCUACACAGUGUGCGUUAGGUAAGAUUUUUUGUAAUUUUGUUUUGGUAUUUUGUUAUUUCAAACUGUGCAAUAUCAGCACUUAAAUCCAAUCUAUUACUGUACACACAGUCCUGUUUAUACUGCUCAUAUUGUGUUAAUACUUUUUAUACAUUAUUUUAUAUAUUGUUUUGUUUAUAUCAUGCCCUUUUCUAUCUUUGCUACUAUUUCCCUGCUGAUAAAGAAUUAUAUUGCUCUUACUCAAAUAAAUUAUUCUGAACAUUGAA